rnacentral:rRNA from 1 species
UACGGAGGAUGCGAGCGUUAUCCGGAUUUAUUGGGUUUGAAGGGUGCGUAGGCGGAUCGUUAAGUCAGUGGUCAAAUUGAGGGGCUCAACCCCUUCCCGCCAUUGAAACUGGCGAUCUUGAGUGGAAGAGAAGUAUGCGGAAUGCGUGGUGUAGCGGUGAAAUGCAUAGAUAUCACGCAGAACCCCGAUUGCGAAGGCAGCAUGCCGGCUUCCUACUGACGCUGAAGCACGAAAGCGUGGGGAUCGAACAGG